rnacentral:lncRNA from 12 species
GUUGAGGAUAGUCCACCGUCAGUCCUGCCAGUCCUGCCCUUGGGGUCCCGGAGAAACCCUGCCUGCCCCGGACUAGGUUUCAGAAAGGUCAGCGCUCGGCGUCAGCGGGGGGCAAACGAAUCAUUAAAUGGAGGAGAGGACUUCGAGGCCAUCCACAUCCAGCCCCACUCGGCUGAGGCCAAGUUCUGCUUCACAGGCUCCCUACAGUUAACCGCUGGGAGCGCGGUUUCCCCUCUCCCUGACGGUGCGGUGCCGCUGCCUCGGGGGUCGGGGGGGUCGCGGCACCGUCAGGACUGGGGUCCAGGGGGCGGGCCCCGAGGAAUCAAAGGGCAGCGGUGGCUGACGCGUCCUCGGGGGCGCCCCGGGCAGCCUCCCUGCCCUCGGGACAGAGGGCCGGGCCGUCCCCGCGCCCAGAGCAACCGGGCCCUCGCCGGCCUGCGGCGCGCACAGGAUGGGGCCGGUCCCCCGCGGGCCGCCUCGCGCCUGCGCAGCCUCCCGGCCCCGCCCCGUGUGCCCCGGGGCAAGCGGCCCCACACCCGGCGGGAGGCGAGGACGGUACCGUGGCCGCUGGACGGGCCCUCGCGAGGCGCGAAGGAACGUGGCACGUGCCCGGGCGCGGGAAGUGCUCGCCCGCAGCAGCGAUCGUCCGGCCGCCUUACGCCCGCCUCCCACCCCGCCCCCUCCUCGCUGGGCCCCAACCCCUGGGAGCCGGGAGCGCACGCUUCCCUCGGCCCCGUGUGCGCGGCGCCCGGCACCCGGCACCCAGCGCCCAGCACCCAGCACCCAGCACCCAGCACCCGGCGCCCAGCGCCCAGCACCCGGCGCCCACGCCACGGGCCUCCAGGCUGCUUGGCUCAUUGGCUAGCGGGCGCUGGAGAGGAGGCCCGGCUCCUUGGGGGAGACUUUCUCCUAUUUUAUCAUAUAUUUAUUAUACAUAUUAUAUAUUAUAAUAUUUUCUCCCGUUUUAUUAUACAUUUAUUAUAUAUAAUAUAUUUUCUCCCAUUUAUUAUACAUUUAUUAUAUAUAUUUCCCAUUUUAUUAUAUAUUUAUUAUAUAUAA